rnacentral:rRNA from 1 species
UAGCUAGUUGGUAGGGUAAAGGCCUACCAAGGCGACGAUCGGUAGCUGGUCUGAGAGGAUGAUCAGCCACACUGGGACUGAGACACGGCCCAGACUCCUACGGGAGGCAGCAGUGGGGAAUAUUGGACAAUGGGGGCAACCCUGAUCCAGCAAUGCCGCGUGUGUGAAGAAGGCCUGAGGGUUGUAAAGCACUUUCAGUGGGGAGGAGGAUUGAUAGGUUAAGAGCUAAUUAAUUGGACGUUACCCACAGAAGAAGCACCGGCUAACUCCGUGCCAGCAGCCGCGGUAAUACGGAGGGUGCGAGCGUUAAUCGGAAUUACUGGGCGUAAAGGGUGCGUAGGUGGUUUAUUAAGUUAACUGUGAAAUUCCUGGGCUUAACCUGGGCAGGUCAGUUAAGACUGAUAGACUUUGAGUAUGGGAGAGGGUAGUGGAAUUUCCGGUGUAGCGGUGAAAUGCGUAGAGAUCGGAAGGAACAUCGGUGGCGAAGGCGGCUACCUGGCCUAAUACUGACACUGAGGCACGAAAGCGUAGGUAGCAAACAGGAUUAGAUACCCUGGUAGUCCACGCCGUAAACGAUGUCAACUAGCUGUUGGUCAUAUAAAUGUGAUUAGUGGCGC